CACCAAGCCUCAGUCAGCAGCAAACGGGGGUCUGCUGACCCGAGUUCAUGGCUGGUCAUCCCAUCUAUCUGUGCCUGUCCAGAUCUCAGGGUGAAGUUCUCUGAUCCAUGCCAUUGCUUCCUGAUGGUACAGAGGAGGCGAGAUGGAAACUGAGGCUUAAACCGAGAAAGCCAAGAAAGGAGACACCUCACCUCCUCAUUGAGUUGCCUGUCAGCACAGACAGGGAGAAGUCUGUGUGUUGAUUGAGCAUCAUAGAACCACAAAAGUUCAUGAGAAAUUGGAGAUGAUAGUCUAUUCCUGUGAUCCUGGCUCUGGGGAAACUGAGGCAAAAGAAUCAUAGGUUUGAGGCCAGUCUGAGCUACAGAACAAGACCCUGUCUCAAACCCCAAUAUAAAAAGUCAUCCCCCCCGGCCGAAUGCUGAGUGAGAAAAGACCACAUUGAUGUCUCUCAGAGCUUGCUCUACAGGUGGGCGCACGUGUGUGGAGGCCUGAGGUCUAUGUCAGGAUCCUUCCUCAGUCGCUAUUCCACCUUAUUCUGUUGAGUCAAGGUCUGUCAGUCAAACCCAGAGCUUGCUCUGGGGAUCCUAUCUCUGUCUUCUGAAGCUGCAAUCACAGGUGGAGCUGUUGAUUGGGGGCAGCCUAGAAGCAUGGGGACCUGGGUCCACCGCGCAGCACCCAGCCGUCUGAAUGCCAAAGGCACACAAGGGUCUGGCUGGUGGCAGGGUCACGUCGAGGAUUCGAAGCAAUUUCAGGUCCGCUGUGGGUUUCGUUUAUCUCUCCCGGGCAGGCCUCUGGCCGUAUUCGAGGCCUGUGGACAAAAGUCCAGGAGUUGAAGAAUACUUGUUUCUGGAUGGAAACUCUGGCUCCCGUACUCACCCGUCGGUGGAGGCCGUGACCAGGGCCACCUUAUUCGCUAGCGGGUUUCGGCGAGUCACCCCGGAGCUGGCCAUCCUCACCGACUUCCACGCUCGAGUCCAGCCACCUAGCAGCAGUCUCGCUUUCUGCAUGGGUCAGGCGGGG